UACGUAGGGUGCGAGCGUUAUCGGAAUACUGGGCGUAAAGCGUGCGCAGGCGGUUCGUUAAGACAGAUGUGAAAUCCCCGGGCUUAACCUGGGAACUGCAUUUGUGACUGGCGAGCUAGAGUAUGGCAGAGGGGGGUAGAAUUCCACGGUGUAGCAGUGAAAUGCGUAGAGAUGUGGAGGAAUACCGAUGGCGGAAGGCAGCCCCCUGGGCCAAUACUGACGCUCAUGCACGAAAGCGUGGGGAGCAAACAGG
rnacentral:rRNA from 1 species